rnacentral:sRNA from 1 species
UAAUAAGUGUUUUAUGGCACUUUUUUAAAUCCAUAUCCACCUUGUGUGCAAUGUCAGGGUUGAUUUCUCUCGAGAGAUCAACCCCAAACAUCAACUAUUAUCUCAACUCUUUGUCUGAAAAAUAUUAUGAAUAAACAAUUCAAAAUACAACUUUCAACAACGGAUCUCUUGGCUCUCGCAUCGAUGAAGAACGCAGCGAAAUGCGAUACGUAAUGUGAAUUGCAGAAUUCAGUGAAUCAUCGAAUCUUUGAACGCAUAUUGCGCUCUUUGGUAUUCCGAAGAGCAUGCUUGUUUGAGUAUCAGUAAACACCUCAAAGCCCUUUUUCUUUUUGAAAAAGGCUUUGGACUUGAGCAAUCCCAACGCUAAUCUUUUUAAAAGAGCAGAGGCGGGUUGCUUGAAAUGCAGGUGCAGCUGGACUUUCUCCUGAGCUAAAAGCAUAUUCAUUUAGUCCCGUCAAACGGAUUAUUACUUUUGCUGCAGCUAAUAUAAAGGGAGUUUGACCAUUUUGGCUGACUGAUGCAGGAUUUUCACAAGAGUCUUAAAAAACCCUUGUUAAACUCGAUCUCAAAUCAAGUAAGACUACCCGCUGAACUUAAGCAUAUCA